UACGUAGGCAGCGAGCGUUGCUCGGAAUUACUGGGCGUAAAGCGCACGUAGGCGGCUUCUUAAGUCGGUGGUGAAAUCCUGGAGCUCAACUCCAGAACUGCCUUCGAUACUGGGAAGCUCGAGUCCGGGAGAGGUGAGUGGAACUGCGAGUGUAGAGGUGAAAUUCGUAGAUAUUCGCAAGAACACCAGUGGCGAAGGCGGCUCACUGGCCCGGUACUGACGCUGAGGUGCGAAAGCGUGGGGAGCAAACAGG
rnacentral:rRNA from 1 species